UACGUAGGGGCAAGCGUUGUCCGGAUUUAUUGGGCGUAAAGAGCGUGUAGGCGGCCUGAUAGGUCGGUUGUGAAACUGGAGGCUUAACCUUCAGACGUCGACCGAAACCAUCUGGCUAGAGUCCGGAAGAGGAGAGUGGAAUUCCUGGAUGUAGCGGUGAAUGCGCAGAUAUCAGGAAGAACACCCGUGGCGAAGGCGGCUCUCUGGGACGGUACUGACGCUGAGACGCGAAAGCGUGGGGAGCGAACAGG
rnacentral:rRNA from 1 species